CUUUAUCGGAGAGUUUGAUCCUGGCUCAGGACGAACGCUGGCGGCGUGCCUAAUACAUGCAAGUCGAGCGGACAGAUGGGAGCUUGCUCCCUGAUGUUAGCGGCGGACGGGUGAGUAACACGUGGGUAACCUGCCUGUAAGACUGGGAUAACUCCGGGAAACCGGGGCUAAUACCGGAUGGUUGUCUGAACCGCAUGGUUCAGACAUAAAAGGUGGCUUCGGCUACCACUUACAGAUGGACCCGCGGCGCAUUAGCUAGUUGGUGAGGUAACGGCUCACCAAGGCGACGAUGCGUAGCCGACCUGAGAGGGUGAUCGGCCACACUGGGACUGAGACACGGCCCAGACUCCUACGGGAGGCA
rnacentral:rRNA from 1 species